rnacentral:lncRNA from 1 species
CCCGACCCUGUCCCAUCCUGCCUUAUGGUCCCCACGAUCCUUUGCCUCCCAGCCAGGCCGGGGGCGAGGUUAUCCUCAUUCUUACUUGCAGACGAGAAACCCACGAGCACCAUGGGGGUGGCAAAGCCUGCCCCCCACCCCCCGGGCACAUAGCGGGCCCGCCCUGGCCAGCUGCCCAAGGGCACAGUCCGAGCAGCCACAGUCCCCGGCUGUACCAUCUGCCGGCGCCUCUCCCUCCAGUGAGGCUGGCCUGGGACACCAGCUUUCCAGGCAGUGGCCCCCGCUCUCCUUUGUGGGGGCUCAGGGUCACCUCCUGCUGGCCUCAGGGGAUACGUGGGCCUGGACGGCCGCCCUCACUUGUCCCGUGCUUUUCUCCUGUGGGUCCCGGGAGAUGUGUGACCCACGGCAGGUGCAGGCAGAGAUCCUGGCAGGCCGGCCCCUCGGGGGCCAAGGGAGCCAAGGAGGAGCUGGGGCCGGACGGCUGGAGGCUGGGGGACGAGGGCCCCUCCACUGGGGCCCUGCUGAGUCCUGGUGGGGGGGCGGGGGGACUUUCACUCAGCGCCUCAGUUCAGCCCCUGCUGGAUUGGUGCUGUGUCACCCUGCACCCGCCACGGGGGCCCUUCCUCGUGGUGGAGGCCAGUCUGGGGUUCCAGAAAGAGUCCAGUCUUGUGGUUUUAUUGAGCAAGUCGUGUGCAGGCGCUGCAGGGUGUGGAAGCCGCUCUUUGUCUUGUCAUCGUCACCCCUUUCAGGGCGGCCCAGGCCGGUCGGUCGUCUGCAAGGACCCUGCUCUCCGUGAGCCCUGGGAGCCCGCCGUCAGCCUCGGGCUUGAGGUCAUGCAGGACACCCCUCGCCGGGGGCACAGUCCCAUCUACGCGUUUCUCAGAUGCCGGCGAAGGCAGUAAACGGCAGGCUUGACGAGGGGAGGCGGUGGCCAAGGCCUUGGCGGGUUCGCCUGUCGAGGAGGUGGCCCCGGAGCCGCGAAGCUUUCGCGGUCGUCCCUGAGCACCAGAGAAACGACUGUCGCCUGCAGACGCCGCCACCCGCC